UCUUGUGCUGUUUUGGGAAGCUUUGGUCUGU
rnacentral:piRNA from 1 species